UCGGAGUCUUAACGGAUUGGCCUGACAAGGCACACGCGCAAGGCCAUGAUUAUUAGUCCACGAUUAUUAAUAUCUCUAAGCUUUUGCUCAUGCUAUCUUUGCUCAUGCCUUCCUGGAAAACCCUCCCCACCUCUAGGGUUAUCAAGACCAUCCUGGCCAACACGGUGAAACCCCGUCUCUACUAAAAAUACGAAAAUUAGCUGGUAGUGGUGGCACACGCCUGUAGUCUCAACAACUCGGGAGGCUGAGGCAGAAGAAUCACUUGAACCUGGGACGCGGAGGUUACAGUGAGCUGAGGUAGUGCCACUGCACUCCAGCCCGGCAAUAGAAAGGGACUCUGUCAAAAGAAAAAAAGAAAUAGAACCAAAAAGAACCAGCAGAGCCUUGUCCACACCCAGCGCCACAGCUUCUACGAGCCGGAGCGGCGGCUGGACGGAGCUGAGCGCGGAGAAUCGCUGCUUGUGGGAGCAUCAGCAGCUGCUGCAAGCGUAGCUCCGCUAGAAUUCCUUACCUGGUGGUCUUACGGCUGCCGGGCCCAGGAACUUCUUCAGCACUACGGACAGCGUUCUUUCUCCCAGUCGCAGCCGGCGCCUCGGCCGGCAUCGUUUCAGAACCACGGACAGCUCCGGGCGCAACCCCAGCCGGGCCCUGGCGGCAGGGCUCACACACCCCAGGCGCUCCAUCAGCACCUGGGCACACUUGGGGCCACGGCCAACAAUGAGAAGAAAGGUCCCCCGGAUUUCCAUGCUGCCCCCGGAGCCCCUCUUCAGCAAGAAUCUCCCUCGCCGUCGCCAAAGACGUCCCGAGCAGCAGACCUGAGUGAGCGGGGAGGAGCAGAUGGGCACUGCCAUGGUGGGAGCAAGGGAAGCAAGCGGGUGUGAGGGGACAGAGAAAUCGGAUGCGUAGGAAUCUAAAGGACCUGGGCGAUGUGUGAAGGGCUCCAUAUUCAUGCAUGUCUUUUAACCCGGAAACAAGAAGACUGUCCAUAGGUCUAGACAAUGGUACAAUCUCACUGUGGGAUAUGACCCCGGUUGUGUCUUGAUGACUCUCCCAGGAAUACUAAAGGAAUGGUUGUUUUAAUCCGAAUCAUCACCAGAGCAGUAAAGCAGAUAUGUGAGAAGUCAGAAACUGAAGACCCUGGAUGAAUUUGCAGAUUACUUGUGCGUACAGUGGUAACCCAGCGAGUGCACACUUGCAAGGGGACUCUUCCAACUUGUUCAUACAAUAGAAAAGAAGCUAUUUUUUUAACAAAUGGUUUACAUCGUCUGGCUGUGCUGCAUUGUUUUGACUAUACCGAAAAAUCUGUGUGGGAUGUUUAACUUUUAUACUUCUCAACACUCCAUUUUACUUGUUGCUUUGUGUGUCAGAGAAAUAAGGGAAGUAUCUAUUUAGAGUAUUUUGGUCAUUAUAGUUUCUGUGUUUUCUUUACUUCAACAUGUGUCACGUGGCCAGGGUCUUUUUCUUAUCGUCCCUCUGCAUCUACCUGCACCUUCUCUGCCUUUACUGGAGGGGAUGUUUCUACAUCAUUUAUUCCAGUGUUUCUGCUUUCAUGUCCUCCACAGUGGAGAGACUUGCAAACCCAUCAUGUGGGUUCGCCAGCUGGCUGUGGGAAUUGUCUGAAGAUUUGUUUGGAAUGUCUGCCUCAUUCAUGGUCUUAUUAAGUAGAAAAGACUGUUUCUACCUCAGUUGCCUCUGUCUUUCCCACAUUAAAAAAAAAAAAAUGCUGUGAGAAAGCUGCUCCCAACCAUGGUUAUCACAGAAGUAGAUUAUUUUAACUCAGAGCUUCGAUGAUCAGUGCCUGGAUCAUUUAGAAUUCAGUUGGAGCCUCCUGAGCCUUAGUUUUUGGACACAGCUCUUCCUAACUCAUAACAAUGAAAAGGGAUGACACACACACAGAACCCUAUAUCAGCAGUUCUCAACUUUGUUGGCGUUAGGGACUGGCUUCAAAAUGAAACUGUUCCACCUCAGAUCAUCAGGCAUUAGAUUCUCAUAAGGAGCAUGCAACCUUGAUCCCUUGCAUGCACAGUUCACUAUAGAGUCCGUGCUCCUAUGAGAAUCAAAUGCCACCGCUGAUCUGAUGGGAGUCGGAGCUGAGGCAUUAAUGCUCACUUGCCUGCUGCCCACUUUGGAUGUGCAGCUCCAUUUCUGUCCUCACAAGCCAUGGACCAGUGCCCAUCCACAGCCCAGGGUUGGGGACCCCCCCCCACCAUACAUGCUCUGAAAAUAAGUGUCUUUGAGAUGUGUUUUUCUGUGUGACACUCUGAACUUAAAUGUGUUUAUUACAGCAAGGUUGUGAUUCUGCUGUAUUCCUUACCCUCUGUAGUUUGUCCCUUUAAAAACUAGAUAUUUUUCCUCAGAACACUUUGCACACUUUCUUACUAAAACAGUAUGUGAUUGGUCCAAGGCAGGUACCUACAGUGCAGGCUGUGUUCCCAUGGGGAAUGGAAAAGAGGACUUUAGAGAGUACACCUGAAGAACUCUUAUUUCUAAGGGAGUCCAAUCAAGCUUGAGAAAAUGAAAUAUUCUUGUGUGUAGUGGCUCAACUCAGGAUAUUGAAGUCCUUUUUAAAGUCUUAUUUUCACCUGUAAAAAUGGAAGGAAAAUUAAUGGAAAGCCUGCCCUGGGUGCCUGCCCCUCCUAAGCACUUUACACAUACAGCUCAUUCAGCCUCGUGUGUCUGGAGCAUCAGGGAGCUCACCAGUCUCUUGAGGAUCACAGGCCAAUUGUUUGUCCUUCCUGACCCAAGCCCCACCCACAGUGUCUUGCCUUCUGAUUUUGCAGGUUUUUGGUGGUAAUACAUAUGGGAGUGAAAUUGAAGUCCCCCCUAUUAUUUUUCCUCUUUUCCUGGAAAGCCAUUUUUUGCUCUCACAAUCAUUCAUUCCUUCUCUAACUAGGGGGAAGUACUACAAGCCAUCCUCGGUUACUGCUCCUACAUGUGCUUUCUUCCUAGAGGUGAUUCUGCUGCCCCAGCAUUGGGAAGUAGGACCAGCACAUGUGUCCCACACAGCCAUGGUCCAUGGCAGCUGUUGCCUGAGCCAUCAGACCAGAUCAGCCCAUGUGACCAGAGCCCUGAAGAGGCACACACGCAUGCACCACACAAGGCUGUUAGCACUUGUCACUUCGCUGCCCUGGUCCAUACUACCCUUGCUUGCAUCAGUCAAAACCGUUAUAACUACUUGGAAUCCUUUCUGCAUGAUUGCUCUGUGAGAGAGCUUUAAUGAGGGAAUGAAAUUUAAAGUAUUCAAAUAUCUAUUUUGUAGUUUAUUACUAGAACCUGCAGCCACUUACUAAGUUGUAUGUAAUAGAGGACUGGUGUGGGAAAUGAGUAAUAGACAUGAAUCUCUCUACUGUCCCUUCCUCAACUUUGAUCUUGGCCUGUCUGCAGAGAGAGGAACACAGUAUUAGGACAGCAAAGCCCCAGCAAGCCUGUGUGGGUUCUGAGAUGGGUCUAGAUGCAUUCAGACCUCAUUCAGGAAGCAGAGUGUCCUGUCAGAUUGCCUAUGUACUCUACAAUCACUCUGGCCUGUGGCCCUGCAUGCCACUCUGCCAUCUCCCUCCCAGCCCACAGAGCCACUCAGAGGCUGAAGCCACUUCACAUCUCACUGGUGUGGAAAUUCAUGAUCAAGAAACCAUAGAUAAGUCAAGGUAUCCAUUGCUCUUCCCUUUUCUCUCAUCUGUGUGGGUGCUUGAAUUUGGUGAAAUGCGUUUAGCAAACCAACUGUGUGUCUGUAAUACUGUGAAUUCUUGAGUUUUGCAUUAAGUGUCUCCCCCAUUUUUGUAAUUUGUAGAGAAAUAUGUACUGGUGUUGAGUGUCUUCCAAGCAUUUUAUGGAAAUUGAGGCUCCAUUCCUUAGGAGUGAAAGCUGGCGCCGGCACUUGGCUUUUGUCCUGUCCAGGUGAACUCUCAUAAUUCUUGUUUCACCUUUGGAUUUGCACUUUACAUAUAUUUUUGCUCUAUUACUUAAACAUACAGCAGCUUUUGCCAAUAAUGCCUAACGUGACUGUGUUGAGAAAGUGGCAGAUCGACACAUCAUACACAGAGAUGUUCUCUGCCUGGCAGGACAAAACCAACCACAUGCUCUCGGUUCCUCCCAACGAAUGACAUUACUUGACAUUACUGCCUGAAUGUGUCUUCACAAUAGCAAAAUUGUUAAGCGUUUGGAAUCUUGUGUCAUUUUGCAUGAGGUCAACCCACCAUGAGUUUCUCAUUUGAUUGUUUUAAUUAUUCAAGAAAUCAUGAAGUCACAACACUGGAAGGAAUCUUCAGAGAUCUAGAAUGUUCCAAGCAGAAAACACAUUUAGUUAUACCAGGCAGUUAGCUAUGGCUGAGAUGUAAACAAGAGAAUCUAAAAGAAUGUUCAAGAAAUAGCUGUUUUUGAACAUUACUUAGUAAUGGCAUAAGUGGGAAGAGAGACUGUCAGCGCUUUGAGACAGGAUGCUCUCUGGAACCAGGUUUGUUCCUCCUACUGCAAGCGUAUAUGACACUUACUUUGGCCCCAGCCCUGUGGUGGGGGAGGUAAUUAUUGCCUUCAUCCACAUAAAUUCCUUCCUAUACAUCCCCCUUAGACCACCCCAGGGGCAAAAUUGAAACAGAAAUCUAGGGGCACUUAAAAUUCACCCUACCCCAUUUGGCCAUGAUUCCUGGGCUGACAGCACUGCCCUUAUGGAAUUAUUAUAUUUUCAUUUUCUGAGAUUCAUUUUAUAAAAGUAUAGCCAGGUGCCCUGGCUCACACCUACAAUCUUAACACUUUGGAAGGACAAGAUGGGAGGAUCACUAAGCCCAGGAGUUCAAGACCAGUCUGGGCACCAUAGCAAGACCCUGUUGCUACCAAAAAUUUAAAAAUUAGUUGAGUGUAGUGGCACACUCCUGUAUUCCCAGCUACUCAGGAAGCUGAGGCAGGAGGAUCACUUGAGCCCAGGAAUUCAAGGAUGCAGUGACCUAUGAUUAUACCACUGCAAUCUAGCCUGGGGAGCAGAGCAAGCCCCUGAAUAAAUAAAUAAAAGUAAAAUUUAUUUUUGCCUGACAUUAAUCACUUCUUAAGGCCCAAAUUUUGGUUUUUCGGCAAAAGGAUAGCUCUAACUGUGGGUCACAGUUACUGCACAUUCACUAAAUGAGAUUCCUUUGGUUAUGGCUGUUCAUAGAAGUUUAAUUGUAUAUAAGUGUUCCUGUUCACUAAGAUUUAUAUUUCAAAGUGAAAGAAAACACUUUACCAAUACAUUCUUAUUUUUUUCUCCUUUAACAUAAUGUUGUAUUUUUCCUGGUAUGAAGGCAGAUAUGUAUUAACUUGAGAUUUGAAAAUGCAGAAAUUAAGUUCAUGUUGAACACUGAGUUAUCUAGAUGAUCUUUGAGAUUUGGAUGUUCAUAUCAACCGUGCUGAGUGCUCACCAGGCUUUAAACUAGGCAGUGGCGGUGGAAGGCAUCUGAGGCCCAUUCCCAGGCUGGGCAGAGAUCACACAGUGAGUAAAUGGGUCAUUUCAGUACAAUGUGGUCGUGAUAGAGGCACGCCAAGGGUGCCACUAACCCAGCAGGUAUGGCAGGAGGAGCUUCACAGAGGAAAGGACUUGAGCUCAGUGUUAAAGAAUGAGGAGUGAGUCAUAAGGGGGAAAUAUGGAAAUGACUUUCCGGGCUUCAGAAGUAGCAUAAACAAAGGCUUGAGAGCUGGAGUCAGUGUGGUGUGUCCAGGGAUCACAAGUCGGCUGGAGCAGCUGUAGAAAAGCCAAGUGGCUCAGCUGCAGUCCCGGAACCAAGCUCUUGUCACUAUCAGAUGUUGCUGCUCCCUGGCCUCAGAGGAAGUAGCACACCGCUCCCCAGGAGGGGUUUCCCCAGGGGCUCCUCCCGCAGCCAGUGCUACUAGUAGUUUGUAUUAUAAUCGUAUCCAUUUCUUUUUCUUUGGAAAUCUAGCCCUCGAACUGCUAUCUGAAAACAACCCAGGAUAACUAAUUUUGGAUCUUUGGGUGCACAGCCUCUCACUGGAGUCUAGGAGGAGGAAGUGGAGACUAUUACAUGCACAGCCUGCAACCAGGAAGGACUCCCAGACUGACACCAAUAGUGUGCUGGGCUCAGCUGGUCCACUUUGGUAAAGGAAAGCCCUGGACCUGCUGCAGGAAUGGAUUGUUCUAGUCGUGUGGCAUUGCACGGACAGGCGGUGCCGAGGCUUUGGGUGCAGAUGCUGGCAGCUGCUGCCCUCCACUUCCUGCUCUUGCAAGUCACAGAUCAUUCCAGUCCAGUGUGGGAGAUCCUGUUCACAGGGGCACUUGCAAGGGGAAGGGAGAGAUUUUGUCAAUUCACGUACAGGUCUGCCUGGGAGACCCAGCCCUGUGGAGGCAGGAACACUGCACCACAUGGGGGCAUGGAAGUGCCUGUCUUUGCUAUCACAUCAUUUGCCUUUUCCUUGUAGGACCCAAAGAUCUAUGUCCAAAACAGUCCAGAAACAUCUGUGUUCCUGUUUAAACUUCAGCUCAGCUUCAUAACCAAGAAUCACAUGUCAACCCUUCAGGGUUGUGGUUUGUAUUCUUGCCUUUAAACAUUAUCCUUUCCACCAAGAAGCCUACUUAGGUUUAACACAUGAAAGCAGUGUCUAAAAAUUAGAUCUGUCCUAAACUGGAAUGGGGUGUCUUCCUUGUAUGUCCCAUACUAGGGAUUUUUUUUUUAACAGAGUAUGUAGCCUUUGCCAGCCAUGUUGAAAGGGAGAUUAAAGGCUUGAGUAAGGGAUGAAUUUAAUCAUCAUUCUUAGUGCCUUCCAGUCCUGUGAGUCUAUGAUUCUAUGGGUCUUGUUUAUUACUGGACUUGCCUAACCCAUCACCAGUGACCUGCCCGCAUAUUGCUGCCUUUGCUUGGAUAAAGGAGAGUCUAUCACCACAUGCCUUUGUUGUCUUCCAUCAUAUCGAGUGAGUUGCUUUCUGGACUUUUUCCAUCUAGAGCCUACUACGUUUGGUUUUGGAAAAAGAUGAAGUUUCUUUUCAUGAGUUUGUAGGAAAAAAUUUUUUUUAAAGAUGGUAAGGGUGGAAAUUAAUCAUGGUACCAUCUCAUUAAAAAUAGAUACCUCAAAAUGUUUACCUUUACAAGUCAAGAAGAAUACCUGACUUGGAAGUGUCAGGAAUUGCAGGUUAGCUGAAAAGUUAGAUUGAGAAUCUGACCUUGAUAUUUAUGAUUCUUUUUUCCCUUGGUUCUCGGGGAUGCAUGAGAAGGUGAGCGGUCACUCACAAAGGAAAAAUGGUUUGAAAAAUACGUUUCACAUAUAUAUACUCUUUUUAUCAUUUAAGUGGAUGGCAGCCUUACAGUAGUAUAUGCCAAUAUGAAGUAUGGACCAAAAUACUAGUGUCACUCGUAACCAUUGUACUUUCAUGUAUUUGUGUCUUAUACCAUUUGCCUUGCUUUUUAAAUGACUUUGUUUUUUCAAGGUACUGUCAUUUUGCAAAAGGUAAUCUUUAUAUGAAAAGUACAAAAAUUGUUACUAACUGGACAACAGGGAAGGUGCUGGCCCCACAUUAGUGCCUGCCUACCACUCAACUUCUAACCAGGGACAUGGAUCUUCCAUUCUGUACCUCCACCGGGCUGCAGCCCACAUGUGGACCUGGCUGCAGUGGGCAUGUUACUGUAUGAGUAUCUUUUUCUUUCUUUUUUUGAAGUGAGGAGAUUCUUCCGGAGGUCAGGCUGAGAAGGUAAUAAGCCUGGCAUUGGAACAAAUUUCUCCUGUGUGGUCUAGCUGGACCCCUCUGGCAUCUGCCACACUCCCUGCCAGUCCUGGUCAGUCCUGACUUUGAUUUCUUGAAUGUGAUUAGGUGGUAAUGAGCAAAAAUUUCCGAGGAUGUUGAAAUGUCUGUAUCCAGGCGUCCAUUCAAAUGCUGCUGAAUAUUGUGAAUGUUUUUACUCCGCUCACUUUCCCACUGUGCUUCCCUUUAACCGAAAUAUACGUGCAGCCAUUACCAACAUACAACUCUCAGUGUGGAGUUGCCUCCAUGGUUUAAAAUAAAUGUGUGUGAAAACCUU